rnacentral:rRNA from 1 species
UACGUAGGCAGCAAGCGUUGUUCGGAGUUACUGGGCGUAAAGGGUGCGUAGGCGGCUUUUUAAGUCUGGUGUGAAAUCUCCCGGCUCAACUGGGAGGUGCGCCGGAUACUGAGGGGCUAGAGUGUGGGAGAGGAAAGUGGAAUUCCUGGUGUAGCGGUGAAAUGCGUAGAUAUCAGGAGGAACACCGGUGGUGUAAACGGCUUCUGGACCAUAACUGACGCUGAGGCACGAAAGCGUGGGUAGCAAACAGG